AGGACGAACGCUGGCGGCACGCUUCACACAUGCAAGUCGAACGAGAGACUCGGAGCUUGCUCCGGGUGGACAGUGGCGAACGGGUGAGGAACACGUGAGGAACCUGCCCUGGAGACCGGGACAACAUCGGGAAACCGUUGCUAAUACCGGAUGCCCUCAUCGGACCGCAUGAUCUGAUGAGGAAAUGGAUUCCGCUCCAGGAUGGCCUCGCGGCCUAUCAGCUUGUUGGUGGGGUAACGGCCCACCAAGGCUUCGACGGGUAGCUGGUCUGAGAGGAUGUCCAGCCACACUGGGACUGAGACACGGCCCAGACUCCUACGGGAGGCAGCAGUGGGGAAUCUUGCGCAAUGGGCGAAAGCCUGACGCAGCGAUGCCGCGUGCGGGAUGAAGGCCUUCGGGUUGUAAACCGCUUUCAGCAGGGACGAAAUGACGGUACCUGCAGAAUAAGCCCGGCUAACUUCGUGCCAGCAGCCGCGGUAAUC
rnacentral:rRNA from 1 species